rnacentral:ncRNA from 2 species
CGUCGUCCGCGUGACUGGCGAAUGAGAUGGGCGACCAUCGGGGAGCGUGGACGUGUAUGGCCGCUCGCCUGGGCAUCUGUC